UUGUUGAAGGAAUUCUUCCCCGAGCCCCCUUUAAAACGACGGAGAUUCUCACCGGCCGCCGUUCUCCUCCUCACCUUCCUCCAAGCCCUAAAAAUCCCCUCAAGAACAGCCUCCAGGGUAGAGGACAUGGUGUGGAAACCCUCAGAGAAGGAUUGGGGGGCUGAAGAAGGCAAGGACUGGUGCGAGGGAAGCAAGGCUCUCAGGCGAAAGAAGGGCGCCAAGAUGAAGCCGUGAAAGGACUAGGGGGUUUAAAUAG
rnacentral:lncRNA from 1 species